AUCCUACUGACGAGUCCCACAGAGGACGAAACAUGCGUCUUAGAU
rnacentral:hammerhead_ribozyme from 1 species